rnacentral:misc_RNA from 1 species
GUAGGUGAACCUGCGGAAGGAUCAUUAAUGAAAUUAUAAUCCGGCGAGGGGAAGGACGAGAGUUGUCGCUGGCCUUUCGCGAGGCAUGUGCACGCUUUCUUCUGGACCUUCGCCGUAUGGGCGCGGGGCGACCCGCGUCUUCAUGCACCUCUUCGUGUAGAAAGUCUUCGAAUGUUAUACUAUCAUCGAGUCGCGACUUCUAGGAGACGCGGUUCUUUGAGACAAAAGUUAUUACAACUUUCAGCAACGGAUCUCUUGGCUCUC